rnacentral:miRNA from 1 species
AAAAUGAUAGGUUGGAAGAACACGC